rnacentral:rRNA from 1 species
GAUGAACGCUGGCGGCGUGCCUAAUACAUGCAAGUCGAGCGAACGGACGAGAAGCUUGCUUCUCUGAUGUUAGCGGCGGACGGGUGAGUAACACGUGGAUAACCUACCUAUAAGACUGGGAUAACUUCGGGAAACCGGAGCUAAUACCGGAUAAUAUUUUGAACCGCAUGGUUCAAAAGUGAAAGACGGUCUUGCUGUCACUUAUAGAUGGAUCCGCGCUGCAUUAGCUAGUUGGUAAGGUAACGGCUUACCAAGGCAACGACGCAUAGCCGACCUGAGAGGGUGAUCGGCCACACUGGAACUGAGACACGGUCCAGACUCCUACGGGAGGCAGCAGUAGGGAAUCUUCCGCAAUGGGCGAAAGCCUGACGGAGCAACGCCGCGUGAGUGAUGAAGGUCUUCGGAUCGUAAAACUCUGUUAUUAGGGAAGAACAUAUGUGUAAGUAACUGUGCACAUCUUGACGGUACCUAAUCAGAAAGCCACAGCUAACUACGUG